rnacentral:tRNA from 1 species
AUUUAGAUAUCUUAAUUUAAAGUAUAAUAUUGAAGCUAUUAUUAUAGGUGUAAACCUUCUAAAUA